rnacentral:rRNA from 1 species
GAUGAACGCUAGCUACAGGCUUAACACAUGCAAGUCGAGGGGAAACGAUGAGAGAGCUUGCUCUCUUAGGCGUCGACCGGCGCACGGGUGAGUAACGCGUAUCCAACCUACCCAUUACAGGGGGAUAACCUUGCGAAAGUAAGACUAAUACCCCAUGGCAUUUUAUGGUGGCAUCAUUAUAGGAUUAAAGAUUUAUUGGUAAUGGAUGGGGAUGCGUCUGAUUAGCUUGUUGGCGGGGUAACGGCCCACCAAGGCAACGAUCAGUAGGGGUUCUGAGAGGAAGGUCCCCCACAUUGGAACUGAGACACGGUCCAAACUCCUACGGGAGGCAGCAGUGAGGAAUAUUGAUCAAUGGGCGAGAGCUUGAACCAGCCAAGUAGCGUGCAGGAUGACGGCCCUAUGGGUUGUAAACUGCUUUUAUAGGGGAAUAAAGUGAGCUACGUGUAGUUUAUUGCAUGUACCCUAUGAAUAAGGACCGGCUAAUUCCGUG